UCAGGGAUUUGGAAUUAAAGGUCCUGAUGGAGAACAGAAAAAGUGUACUCCCCUUAAAGGUAUCUAGACACAUAAUCUUCAGGUGUUGGGAAAUAAUACGUUCAACUGGAGAACAGCAUGGCCUGCAGUAUGCCAGCCACAUACAGGAAACUACAGGGCAAACCUGUUUCUGGUGUGAUUAAAAGCUCGCUUGAAAGGACCACUUUGCGUGUGGAACUUUUCUGGAUAAAGGAUAGAGAACUUCUUUGUCUUCAAAGAGCUUCAAAGGAUAUACAGAAAGAAGCAUGUGCAGACUGGAGAAGCAGAUGUGCGAGGUCUAUGCAAGCUGAGAAGAAAGCCUAGGUGCUCCCUCUUUUGGCACUGAUGAGAGAUUCAAACCACAUCCAGGAACUCUCCCAUGGGCCCACUGGCCCCACCCCUGAUUACAAUAAAAAACCAGGCCAGCCUCCUAUCCCUGUGCUCUCAAGCCAUCCCAAACCUGUUUUGCAGGACUUCCUUGCUCUCCCCAGA